GACAGAGGCCUCAAGCGUUAGGCGGAAUCACUGGGCUUAAAGCGUGUGUAGGCGGAUCGUUAAGUGUCUUGUGAAAUCCCACGGCUCACCCGUGGAACGGCUGGGCAUACUGGCGAUCUUGGGCCACUAGGGCGAACUGGAACAAGCGGUGGAGCGGUGAAAUGCGUAGAUAUCGCUUGGAACGCCGAAGGUGAAAACAGGUUGCUGGGGGUUGUGCCGACGCUGAGACACGAAAGCCAGGGGGAGCAAAACGGGG
rnacentral:rRNA from 1 species